CAGAUUCAAAAUAUGCCUUUUGAAUUAUUCUGGGGUGUUUUCUUUAAUAAAUAGUAUGUGUUUGUGGGGAAGUUUGAAUAACCAACCAGCUAAACUACUCCGAAACGAAACAUGGACAAAGCGUAAAACUUCACAGUUAGAAAAAAACUGAAUGGCUGCGUCUCAAAUGUGCCCCUCCAACAUGCACAUACACCUGGCAAAGGUACAUACGGGUAUUGUUGUACACAGAUGAC